GACGAACGCUGGCGGCGUGCUUAACACAUGCAAGUCGAACGAAGUGGCGAACGGGUGAGUAAUACGUGGGUAACCUGCCCUCCUUUUUGGGAUAAGCCUUGGAAACGGGGUCUAAUACUGAAUAAAGGGGGAUGGGCUCGCGGCCUGUCGUCUUGUUGGUGGGGUAAUGGCCUACCAAGGCGGUGACGGGUAGCCGGCCUGAGAGGGUGAACGGCAACAUAGGGACUGGGAUGCGGCCCAGGCUCCUACGGAGGGCAGCAGUGGGGGAUAUUGGACAAUGGGCGAAGGACUGAUGCAGCGACGCCGCGUGGGGGAUGAGGGCUUUCGGGUUGUAGACCUCGUUCGCUAUAGAACGGGUAGGUGGGGAGGAAGCGCCGGCUAACUACGUGCCAGCCGCCGCGGUAAUUC
rnacentral:rRNA from 1 species